rnacentral:rRNA from 1 species
GACGAACCGAGCGAACGUUGUUCGGAAUCACUGGGCUUAAAGGGCGCGUAGGCGGGCUGUCGAGUCUGGGGUGAAAUCCCGCGGCUCAACCGUGGAACUGCCUUAGAUACUGACGGCCUCGAGGGAGGUAGGGGCAUGCGGAACUGAUGGUGGAGCGGUGAAAUGCGUUGAUAUCAUCAGGAACUCCGGUGGCGAAGGCGGCGUGCUGGACCUCUUCUGACGCUGAGGCGCGAAAGCUAGGGGAGCAAACGGG